rnacentral:rRNA from 1 species
UACGUAGGUGGCAAGCGUUGUCCGGAUUUACUGGGUGUAAAGGGCGUGUAGCCGGGCUGACAAGUCUGAUGUGAAAUCCCGUGGCUCAACCACGGAACUGCAUUUGAAACUGUCGGUCUUGAGUAUCGGAGAGGCAGGCGGAAUUCCUAGUGUAGCGGUGAAAUGCGUAGAUAUUAGGAGGAACACCAGUGGCGAAGGCGGCCUGCUGGACUGAAACUGACGCUGAGGCUCGAAAGCGUGGGGAGCAAACAGG